CAGGACGACAGAUAGGUAGAUAUCAAGGAUAUAUCGGUUGCAUCCUCACUGAGACCAGUCCCAGGAUUCAUUGCGCCCCAAGAUUGUUCUUGGAAGGCAAGUUAGCAACACCGGUCUUGGCAAACCACAAAUACGAUUUUUGUGUUCUUGGUUUUGAGAUGCACCCUAUAUUUAUUGAGUGCUAGCUUUUAUUUUGAGGGCAAUAUGCAUGUAAUAAUAAUAGUAUUAAUAAUACAUUCGGUUUAUGCAGCACAUUUCAAAAGACACUAUCAAUAUUCAAUAACAUAGAACACAGCGAGAGUAAUAGGCGCAGUAACAAACCAGCCCAGUUACAGCAAGCAUUAACUGACGAAAAAUACAGUAGUGUGGAAUUGACUGAGUUUUAGAUGGAUGACGCAAGCUGAGCAUAGAGAGAAUGGAGGGAUCAAAGUGGAGACAGCAGAGUGGUGGGAACUCUAGAGCUUGGGGGAGCAAGAAGGUUUCAGGCAAGAUUUGAAAGCUGGGAGAUAGGGUGAGUUACGGAUGCUGGAGGGAAAUCCAAAGUCUAGGAGCAACCCAAGAGAAGCUGUGGAGUCCAGAAAGAGGAACAGCAAGGAGUUCAGAAGAGGAAGAUCUAAGAGUAUGACUGUGCGAGCAGGGAUGGAGAAGAUCAGGCAGGUGGGAGGAGCAAGGUUGUUAACGUCUUUAGGUGAGGAGAAUUUUUCAUGUAUAUAUGGCAUGAAUUUUGGGACUUAAUCAGAUCAGGGCGCCAAGGCUAUCUGGGACACACAGUGCAUCUAGGAAGACAUUUCAUCAGCUUCUAGCUUUCUCAGGAGGCAUGAUGAAUGUUUGCUGCUGUCCCUCUGCACCAGGGGAUGCUCCUCUGAGAUCGGAGUGCUGUCGACUUUGGACGCACGGAGAAACAGAACGGUCUGGUUUGUGUCAGGUUUGGUGUCUGGCUGAAACGGUGGCCUGCAGAGAAGAAUCGGCCUCCUGGAGGCUGGGCACAGGGGCGGCAGGUUGAGCUGCUUGCACACCUGGUCUACAGCAUGUAUGCAUCAGACACUCAUGAAUAAUUAAUCAGCACAGAGUGAGGUCAGGCUACCUAGGUUUCUCUCCGUGUGGGUCGUAUUUCUCCAGUUGCAAAUGUAUGAUGCUUAACUACUUGUAACGCUUCUGAGAGUCAGAAUUAAUGCUUUUCACAAUUAAUCCUUUCCUGCCUCUAUAUAAAAUAUAUCAUAUUACCUUCUGGGACAAUUUUCAGGACACUGUUGGUUUUUGCAUGAUUUGCCAUAGUAGUGUAAGAGACUGAUAGUGAUACUGGCUGUGCACCAGUGCCCUCAAAUCCCAACCAAAGCUUAUAGCUGCAGUAUGGCCUUGAUUAGUUGUACCAGCUCCCCCCAAAGGCUGAUCUCUCAGUGAAUCUUGCUAUUCUCCAUUAUCUGUGAGCAGCUCCUAUGUUCCUCAGUUGCUGGUUUGCUUUUGAACUAUAAUUCAGUAUGUUGCUCUGACAAACAGCCAUGCCUGGCAGCCAUCUUAAAAUGAGAAAUCCGGAUCCCAGGCUGGUCACUGAGUAGAAGAAGUGUGGAAUGAUCUGGAAGAGGACGUCUUUGUCAGACACGUAGAUACAGCAUCUAUCAGCCGGCAGGAUGCACUUAUGAUUGUCGCAGUUUGACCCGGUGCUGUCGUGGAGCCAAGCCACCACUCCCCAGUUGACCCCCUCUAGACCGAUGACCUUCUCGUGGAACUGGGCUUCUUCUUGGCCAGACCCUCACUCUGUUUCCUUAAGGCUGCCACACUGUUCCUGUAUCUGUGUGAGCACCGUCAGAGUCCGCUGUGUCCCGUUCCCCGGCCCAUGUGACCACUGCAGACCCCAGGCAGCCAAUGGCGUAUUACUAUGCCUCCUCUGGUGGUUUGUGGCAUCCAGCUACACUUUCAUGAUCUGUGAGUUGUCAGAGCGGCCGUGUUGUAAGUCUGAUUUAGGCUGGGAGAGAGUUCUCCCAGGACAGGAGGCCAAAGCUAUAACAGGGCUUUAAGAUGGCUUUUUAAUGUGCUCCAGUUGGUCUGGCUCACAAAGAGCCCUGUGUAUGUAUAAGGACUCGUGCUUUUUAGGAUCGCAUGCCUAUAAUUUUGUAUUAAAUUCAAAUGUUUUAGUUGGGACUAAUGUACAUAUGUCACAGGGACAGGACCCGCUGUGAGAAUCGGGCAGCUACCAUUUGUGCUGGUUCCCUUAAGCAGCACAGCUUCACUGUAAGCUGCUGUGGGGGUCAGAUGCUCAGGAGGGCUGGUCGGCAAACCAGGUCACUCCUGCUAAUGUCAGAUAACCUUACUCA